AUGGAUAUGGAUCCAUCUAAUACAGUUCUUCACAAAGCCCAAGAAUCGCAAGGGUCCAAUUGCUUUUGGGGUCAUACUUUUUCUGGUCCUUAUUGGCUGGCCUGUCUUCGGCAUGAUGACGAAGUCGUAUGGCUUUGUGUUGCUAUUCUGCUUCUGGCCUGCUGUUGUUGUUUACCUGCAAAAAAACCCCACCAUCGGUUGGAUUUUCCAACACCCUUAUGUGAUAUCGAUUGA
rnacentral:rRNA from 1 species